AUGCCAACCAACGGCUGGAGUCUCCACAACAACUUUGUGCUCGUGAAGCAAUCCACCCACCUAUUGCCCAACUGUGCCCCACAGGUCCUACUCAAGCUCGACCUUGCCCGCGCGUUCGACACCGUCUUGUGGUCCUUCCUGUUCAAGGUGCUACAACAAUAUGGGUUCAACGACAUGUUCAUCAAGUGGCUCGUGAUCCUGCUAUCCUCCACCAACACACAUAAGUGCCGAUCAACGGAGAUCAAGGGCCACCAGACGUGGGCUACGCCAGGGGGACCCAUUCUCGCCCCAGCUGUUCAUCCUCACAGUCGAUGUCCUCGAGAUCCAGCAUAUUGUCAACACCGACAUCAUACAACGGCUUCAUCCACGCCAAAAAAUACCCAUGUUUUCGCUAUACGCUGA
rnacentral:rRNA from 1 species